UAUUAUGAUAUAACUAUUGGUGUUGCAUAUAUUCAAAAAACACCACUUUUCUUAUAUUGGUGUUGCAUAUAUUUAAAACACCACUCCUUUUUAUAAUGCACCCAUAUUAAGUAGUGAAUCAAGGUUGCAGGGAUUUUGUGAACUCUGCUUCACCUAACUUUUCAGAUGAAGGAGGGGGGCCAAGAAUGAGUGGAUGAGAACAUGGGCUAGUGUUGAUUUAUUAAAUGUUGUUGAUUUGUUGGCAUAUGACUUUAAUUGAGUCUGAGGAGUUGGUUGAAUUCUUUAGAGAUUACUGUUUGCCAAGAGAUAAGGACUGUCAAUAUAGAUUGAUGACUGGAUCUAAUUGGGGCUUCCCAUUGCUUUCAAUGGGACGAAAAUUGUAUAAAAACCCUGGGCCGAUCACACUGAGACCACCACAAUCAAGCUGGGCAGAGCUAUGUGGUCCAUCCUUUGCAGAUCUCUACAGAACAGUCCUUCUCUUUUGUUCACGCUACUCUUCCUUAUAAUAGGAGAGCCGACCCGAGCUGAACCCAAGACAGAAGUGGAGUCCUGCUGGGAACGAGCUGAAACAUUGGACAUGGACUGGAUGAUUUAAAAAUGAAAUGUAUUAAUGAGAUGAUAUGUGCUGUAACCAUUUGUAAUGUUUGAAUAAUCUUUAGUCUGUAACAAAUACUGUAAAGUGCUCUCUCUGUAAGACCGAAAAACAGAAUCUGGUACAACUUGAUACACUGGCCGGCCUUGAGCAGUCUCUUAUUAAAAUUGGCACGAUUCCCAGAAUUUAGUGCUGAAAUCUCUGUUAAGACUUUUCAGCUUGACUACAGAAUAAUGCUGUACUAAUAGAUGUAUGUUAAUAUGCUUGUUUUAAAUGGUAUAGAUUGCUGUGGUAACAUAUAAUCAUAGGUAGUGAUAAUUAUUGUUAGUAUGAAAUACUAUGAACAAUUUUUAUGUAUAAGAUCAUAUGAUUCACUUUGCUUAAUAUGAUAGCAUACCUGAAGCUGUUUUCUAUCAAGAUGAGCAUAGUUAAAAACGGAGUCCUAAUUCAAUGAAAAGAAUUACUGUGUGCUUACAUUCAAGAAUUAUAACUUCUGAAUAUAAAGGGAAAAGGAGUUAGGAGUAUUCUUAAGGGAAAGAGAAAAACAGAAAAGGAUUAAAAGACCUCGCUUUGAGUAGGUUUCUGCUUGUAAUUCAGUUUUAAAAUAAGUAGGUGAGUAAGAACAACCUAGAGUAAAAGCAGACUCUAACUUAAGAAAAUAAGCAUUGUCAGAAGAUACACCACAACUAGAGAGCAGAAAAAUUGAAUAAAAUCCUAUUGUAAUAUUGCGGAUAUACUGCUGCUAGCAGAAAGUAAUAAGGUUAGCAGCCAUACGCUAUAAGAAGUAAUGUACUAGUUUGACUCUGAAGUUAAAAGACGCAGCAUAAAAAGAUGUUGUGUUUAAAAUGCAAAAUAAAAGGAUUGAAUAAAUAAUGAAGAAUAAAAGCAGGAGAUAGGUUUUAGGAGAGUAAACUCUAUGUGACCUGUCUUCCUGAACUCUCUAUCAGCCUGCCCUUGGAGAAAUAUUAGCUGCUGGAAGGCCUCUUUGGUGGGAAGAAGCCGGAAUUUUUUUAUCAGAAGGCUUAUAGUAUCGGGCCGGACUGCAAAAAUAGGGAGUUAGAACGGAUGGUCUUAGCACUUAAGAUAGUUAGUUGUCGGGCGGAACAAGCACGUAAGAUACAGGUGUAAGGAAAGUUCUAGGGAACAUUAAUCACUAUUAAACUUGGCAAGAAAAGAGGUGUCUCCAGCAAGCUGGUUUUAGCCAGUAUGUGUAUAGCUGAAACAUACAGGGUCAUCUGGAUGUCAAUUAAGUUCAAGCUACCAGGGGCCCAUAGGAGAAAAACAUUACAGCUUUACAGCUCAGUAAAAUAGUUAGGUUUUCCAUAAGGAGAAAACUCUACAUUAAAAAGAUAUAAGAUGGAAGUUCCCUAUAAUACCUGCUAAACACACACCUGUAAGGAAAGAAUGAAAUUAAUUUGAGAGUGAGAUGACAUGAGGGAAUAUAUUUUUGAAAGCCAAGUUCAUGUAAUCAAUUAUAAUCAUUAUAACUAUAACUGCUAUAUUAUGAUAUAACUAUUGGUGUUGCAUAUAUUCAAAAAACACCACUUUUCUUAUAUUGGUGUUGCAUAUAUUUAAAACACCACUCCUUUUUAUAAUGCACCCAUAUUAAGUAGUGAAUCAAGGUUGCAGGGAUUUUGUGAACUCUGCUUCACCUAACUUUUCAGAUGAAGGAGGGGGGCCAAGAAUGAGUGGAUGAGAACAUGGGCUAGUGUUGAUUUAUUAAAUGUUGUUGAUUUGUUGG